rnacentral:lncRNA from 1 species
UUAAGGAUAGAGGUGGGUAGACGGAUAAAAGAUUCAUUGAAUUGCUUGAAUUGUUGUAAGAAAUGCUUCCAGAAAAUAACAUGUUGUCGAAUCAUAGUGUCAUACCCCGAUUUUGAUCCUAAAUUUUUUCCAUUUUUUUAUUUGGCACUUGGCCUAAAGUUCAUUUGCAUACAUUCAUCCCCCAAAUCCAUUUUUUUGAUAAACAUUGGUCAUUAUCUAUUUUUGAUCAUGGUACUUUGUGAUUACAAAAUGGAUUUUAG